rnacentral:tRNA from 1 species
GCGCCGCUAGCUCAAUUGGCAGAGCAGCGGACUCUUAAUCCGCGGGUUGGGGGUUCAAGUCCCUCGCGGCGCA